AUGAACGCCGGCGGUGUGCCUAAUACAUGCAAGUCGAACGCGUUGGCCCAAUUGAUUGAUGGUGCUUGCACCUGAUUGAUUUUGGUCGCCAACGAGUGGCGGACGGGUGAGUAACACGUAGGUAACCUGCCCAGAAGCGGGGGACAACAUUUGGAAACAGAUGCUAAUACCGCAUAACAACGUUGUUCGCAUGAACAACGCUUAAAAGAUGGCUUCUCGCUAUCACUUCUGGAUGGACCUGCGGUGCAUUAGCUUGUUGGUGGGGUAAUGGCCUACCAAGGCGAUGAUGCAUAGCCGAGUUGAGAGACUGAUCGGCCACAAUGGGACUGAGACACGGCCCAUACUCCUACGGGAGGCAGCAGUAGGGAAUCUUCCACAAUGGGCGCAAGCCUGAUGGAGCAACACCGCGUGAGUGAAGAAGGGUUUCGGCUCGUAAAGCUCUGUUGUUAAAGAAGAACACGUAUGAGAGUAACUGUUCAUACGUUGACGGUAUUUAACCAGAAAGUCACGGCUAACUACGUGCCAGCAGCCG
rnacentral:rRNA from 2 species